AUUGAACGCUGGCGGCAUGCCUUACACAUGCAAGUCGAACGGUAACAGGUCUUCGGAUGCUGACGAGUGGCGAACGGGUGAGUAAUACAUCGGAACGUGCCCGAUCGUGGGGGAUAACGCAGCGAAAGCUGUGCUAAUACCGCAUACGAUCUACGGAUGAAAGCGGGGGGUCGCAAGACCUCGCGCGGACGGAGCGGCCGAUGGCAGAUUAGGUAGUUGGUGGGAUAAAAGCUUACCAAGCCGACGAUCUGUAGCUGGUCUGAGAGGACGACCAGCCACACUGGGACUGAGACACGGCCCAGACUCCUACGGGAGGCAGCAGUGGGGAAUUUUGGACAAUGGGCGCAAGCCUGAUCCAGCCAUGCCGCGUGCAGGAUGAAGGCCUUCGGGUUGUAAACUGCUUUUGUACGGAACGAAAAAAGCUCUCUCUAAUACAGGGGGUGAAUGACGGUACCGUAAGAAUAAGCACCGGCUAACUACGUG
rnacentral:rRNA from 1 species